rnacentral:miRNA from 1 species
CGGCGGCAGCGCCGGGGCG